rnacentral:rRNA from 1 species
UACGUAGGGUGCAAGCGUUAAUCGGAAUUACUGGGCGUAAAGCGUGCGCAGGCGGCUUUGCAAGACAGAUGUGAAAUCCCCGGGCUUAACCUGGGAACUGCAUUUGUGACUGCAUGGCUGGAGUGCGGCAGAGGGGGAUGGAAUUCCGCGUGUAGCAGUGAAAUGCGUAGAUAUGCGGAGGAACACCGAUGGCGAAGGCAGCCCCCUGGGCUGACACUGACGCUCAGGCACGAAAGCGUGGGGAGCAAACAGG